GAUGAACGCUAGCUACAGGCUUAACACAUGCAAGUCGAGGGGAAACGAUAGAGAAAGCUUGCUUUUUCUAGGCGUCGACCGGCGCACGGGUGAGUAACGCGUAUCCAACCUGCCCACCACUUGGGGAUAACCUUGCGAAAGUAAGACUAAUACCCAAUGACGUCUCUAGAAGACAUCUGAAAGAGAUUAAAGAUUUAUCGGUGAUGGAUGGGGAUGCGUCUGAUUAGCUUGUUGGCGGGGUAACGGCCCACCAAGGCGACGAUCAGUAGGGGUUCUGAGAGGAAGGUCCCCCACAUUGGAACUGAGACACGGUCCAAACUCCUACGGGAGGCAGCAGUGAGGAAUAUUGGUCAAUGGGCGAGAGCCUGAUGCAGCAACGCCGCGUGGAGGAAGACGGUUUUCGGAUUGUAAACUCCUGUUCUUAGUGAAGAAUAAUGACGGUAGCUAAGGAGCAAGCCACGGCUAACUACGUG
rnacentral:rRNA from 1 species